AGUGAACGCUGGCGGUAGGCCUAACACAUGCAAGUCGAACGGCAGCACAGUAAGAGCUUGCUCUUACGGGUGGCGAGUGGCGGACGGGUGAGGAAUACAUCGGAAUCUACUUUUUCGCGGGGGAUAACGUAGUGAAACUUACGCUAAUACCGCAUACGACCUACGGGUGAAAGCAGGGGAUCUUCGGACCUUGCGCGAUUGAAUGAGCCGAUGUCGGAUUAGCUAGUUGGCGGGGUAAAGGCCCACCAAGGCGACGAUCCGUAGCUGGUCUGAGAGGAUGAUCAGCCACACUGGAACUGAGACACGGUCCAGACUCCUACGGGAGGCAGCAGUGGGGAAUAUUGGACAAUGGGCGCAAGCCUGAUCCAGCCAUACCGCGUGGGUGAAGAAGGCCUUCGGGUUGUAAAGCCCUUUUGUUGGGAAAGAAAAGCAGCAGGUUAAUACCCCGCUGUUCUGACGGUACCCAAAGAAUAAGCACCGGCUAACUUCGUG
rnacentral:rRNA from 1 species